GAUGAACGCUAGCGGGAGGCCUAACACAUGCAAGCCGAGCGGUAUUGUUUCUUCGGAAAUGAGAGAGCGGCGUACGGGUGCGGAACACGUGUGCAACCUGCCUUUAUCUGGGGGAUAGCCUUUCGAAAGGGAGAUUAAUACUCCAUAAUAUAUUGAACGGCAUCGUUUAAUAUUGAAAGCUCCGGCGGAUAGAGAUGGGCACGCGCAAGAUUAGCUAGUUGGUGAGGUAACGGCUCACCAAGGCGAUGAUCUUUAGGGGGCCUGAGAGGGUGAUCCCCCACACUGGUACUGAGACACGGACCAGACUCCUACGGGAGGCAGCAGUGAGGAAUAUUGGUCAAUGGGUGCAAGCCUGAACCAGCCAUCCCGCGUGAAGGACGACUGCCCUAUGGGUUGCAAACUUCUUUUGUAUAGGGAUAAACCUACCCUCGUGAGGGUAGCUGAAGGUACUAUACGAAUAAGCACCGGCUAACUCCGUGCCAGCAGCCGCAGUAACAC
rnacentral:rRNA from 1 species